UUUUUUAUGGUGUAAAGAGCACGAAAGAUUUUCAAUUUUUAGGAGUAAAUAGGAUAUUUAAAUUUACUGAAU
rnacentral:tRNA from 1 species